rnacentral:misc_RNA from 1 species
GCAAACUUGGUCAUUUAGAGGAAGUAAAAGUCGUAACAAGGUUUCCGUAGAUGAAUCUGCGGAAGGAUCAUUACCAAUAGUGGUUGCUCUGUUGGCACUCGCCUUCUAUGCACCACGCCAAUCCUCCGUCAACCUGUUGCACUUGUUUGCGAGUCGUGCGUGAGGCCUUUUUCUAGGCCUGCGCACGCUUCUCAUUCAAUACGCGCAUCAGCGACACACACAACUCAACACAGUUGAACAUACAACACAACAAAACACAACUUUCAACAAUGGAUCUCUUGGCUCUCGCAUCGAUGAAGAACGCAGC